ACGAACGCUGGCGGCACGCUUAACACAUGCAAGUCGAACGAGAGAAGAGAAGCUUGCUUUUCUGAUCUAGUGGCGGACGGGUGAGUAACACGUGAGCAAUCUGCCUUUCAGAGGGGGAUACCGAUUGGAAACGAUCGUUAAUACCGCAUAAUAUAAUUGAACCGCAUGAUUUGAUUAUCAAAGAUUUAUCGCUGAAAGAUGAGCUCGCGUCUGAUUAGCUAGUUGGUAAGGUAACGGCUUACCAAGGCGACGAUCAGUAGCCGGACUGAGAGGUUGAUCGGCCACAUUGGGACUGAGACACGGCCCAGACUCCUACGGGAGGCAGCAGUGGGGAAUAUUGCACAAUGGAGGAAACUCUGAUGCAGCGAUGCCGCGUGAGGGAAGAAGGUUUUAGGAUUGUAAACCUCUGUCUUCAGGGACGAAAAAAGACGGUACCUGAGGAGGAAGCUCCGGCUAACUACGUGCCAGCAGCCGCGGUAAUACGUAGGGAGCGAGCGUUGUCCGGAAUUACUGGGUGUAAAGGGAGCGUAGGCGGGAUCGCAAGUCAGAUGUGAAAACUAUGGGCUUAACCCAUAAACUGCAUUUGAAACUGUGGUUCUUGAGUGAAGUAGAGGUAAGCGGAAUUCCUAGUGUAGCGGUGAAAUGCGUAGAUAUUAGGAGGAACAUCAGUGGCGAAGGCGGCUUACUGGGCUUUAACUGACGCUGAGGCUCGAAAGCGUGGGGAGCAAACAGGAUUAGAUACCCUGGUAGUCCACGCCGUAAACGAUGAUUACUAGGUGUGGGGGGACUGACCCCUUCCGUGCCGCAGCAAACGCAAUAAGUAAUCCACCUGGGGAGUACGACCGCAAGGUUGAAACUCAAAGGAAUUGACGGGGGCCCGCACAAGCAGUGGAGUAUGUGGAUUAAUUCGAAGCAACGCGAAGAACCUUACCAGGUCUUGACAUCGUAUGCAUAGCUCAGAGAUGAGUGAAAUCUCUUCGGAGACAUAUAGACAGGUGGUGCAUGGUUGUCGUCAGCUCGUGUCGUGAGAUGUUGGGUUAAGUCCCGCAACGAGCGCAACCCUUACUGUCAGUUACUACGCAAGAGGACUCUGGCAGGACUGCCGUUGACAAAACGGAGGAAGGUGGGGAUGACGUCAAAUCAUCAUGCCCUUUAUGACUUGGGCUACACACGUACUACAAUGGCGUUAAACAAAGAGAAGCAAGACCGCGAGGUGGAGCAAAACUCAAAAACAACGUCUCAGUUCAGAUUGCAGGCUGCAACUCGCCUGCAUGAAGUCGGAAUUGCUAGUAAUCGCGGAUCAGCAUGCCGCGGUGAAUACGUUCCCGGGCCUUGUACACACCGCCCGUCACACCAUGAGAGUCGGGAACACCCGAAGUCCGUAGCCUAACUAGCAAUAGAGGGCGCGGCCGAAGGUGGGUUCGAUAAUUGGGGUG
rnacentral:rRNA from 1 species